UCCUCCUUAGCUCAGCGGUAGUAGCGCUUCACUAGUACUCCGCCCAAGUCGAGUAUGAUAUGAAGAGGUCAGUCGUUCAAAUCGGCUAGGAGGAA